UACGUAGGUGACCAGCGUUGUCCGGAUUUACUGGGCGUAAAGAGCGCGCAGGCGGUCGUUCAAGUCGCGUGUGAAAGCCCCCCGGCUCAACUGGGGAGGGUCGUCGGGGACCGCACCGCUUGAGGGCGGUAGGGGCUGGUGGAAUGCCUGGUGUAGUGGUGAAAUGCGUAGAUAUCGGGAGGAACACCAGUGGCGAAGGCGGCUACCUGGACAAUUGCUGACGCUCAGGCACGAAAGCGUGGGGAGCAAAAGGG
rnacentral:rRNA from 1 species